UACGGAGGGUGCAAGCGUUAAUCGGAAUUAUUGGGCGUAAAGCGCACGUAGGCGGCUUAGCAAGUCGGAAGUGAAAUCCCUCGGCUCAACCAAGGAAGUGCUUUCGAAACUGCUGAGCUUGAGUACUUAAGAGGAUCGCGGAAUUCCCGGUGUAGAGGUGAAAUUCGUAGAUAUCGGGAGGAACACCAGUGGCGAAGGCGGCGAUCUGGGAAGAUACUGACGCUGAGGUGCGAAAGCGUGGGGAGCAAACAGG
rnacentral:rRNA from 1 species